GAUGAACGCUGGCGGCGUGCCUAAUACAUGCAAGUCGAACGCGAGCAGCAAUGCUCGAGUGGCGAACGGGUGAGUAAUACAUAAGUAACCUGCCCUAGACAGGGGGAUAACUGCUGGAAACGGCAGCUAAGACCGCAUAGGCAUACAUGACGCAUGUCGAGUAUGUUAAAUAUCCUACGGGAUAGCACAGGGAUGGGCUUAUGACGCAUUAGCCAGCUGGUGAGGUAGAGGCUCACCAGGGCGACGAUGCGUAGCCGGCCUGAGAGGGUGGACGGCCACACUGGGACUGAGACACGGCCCAG
rnacentral:rRNA from 1 species